rnacentral:ncRNA from 1 species
GGAUGCAACGGGGAAGAGACUGUUUGAAAACGGCACCGAAGGGGCAAACAAACGCUUCAGAAACGUUUGCGAAUCUCUCAGGUAAAAAGGACCCUGCUGCGAUC